ensembl:lncRNA
ACAGUGUGCAGUGCUCCAAACAGGCUCUGCCCAGAAUGGCUCCACAGAGCAGGGAUUGUGUUAACCUGAGGAGGACCACUCUCACACAGGGAACAGUCCAUCUCACCAGAGAGUUUUACGCUUUGAUGAGGCUGUUAUUUGACACAACCAUCUACAAUUAGUCAUUCUGGGAACCCAUGGCCAGGUCCAGAUGAAUCUGCUACAAAUCCCUUGUCUGUUGUGUGUUUGUUUGCAGCCUUGGUUUUAAGCAACGCAAGGCCACGAGACUCUGAUGAGGAAAUUCUCUCUGGUGUCAUCUCCGGCUCUGUUUGCUUCCACGGCCGUCGGAGCAGCCAUAACUCGACCUGCCUCCUUCCAAGAGGUGCUGUUCCUAGGAGAGAGGGAGUGUGUGGCGUGCCAAAGCUCAUUCCUGAACUCCUGAAGGGAGGAGCCGUGGGAAUUAGAGGGAUAGCUGGAUUGAUGAGGGUGCUGGAGAACAGCGUGUGAGCGCUGGGCUCCAUAAUCAGUUCAUCCUUCCAGACACUUGAGCUCUGGAGGAUUUUUGCUCUGAGAUUUUAUAUCUUUCACUAUAUGUUUUGAAUAUUUUCUAGUUUCUUUGCUCAAGUCGAUGCUCCCCUUCAUCAAAUGUGGCAGGUGGGCCUAAGGAACAAUUCUCUGUGAAACUAAAAGUAACAAUGUGUAAGGUAGUGUGAGGAAAGCAGGGUAAAAGUGCUGACUGGUCUUGGAGCGUUUGAGUUGGAGACUUAGAAGGCCUGUGUAGCAAUGGAUGAGAACUUGUGCCGAGGGUUGACAGGAAGAGGCAGCUAGACGGCAAUGCAUAACCGAAGCCUCUAUGUGUGCACAGGAGAGUGCGUUUGUGUACGACUAUGCAUGCAGGAGCAUGUGAUUGUUUCUUGGAGUGCAGAAUUCUGAGAAUUGGCCAUUAUUGCCGCUCCCUCCUAUUUUUGUGCUGGAGCCGGGAGGGUCAACAUUAACAGCGAGAGAGGGAGAGGGACGGAUACAGCAAAAUAAAUAAAUAAAUAAAAUAUAACA